GGGGGCGAUUUGGCUUCGACUGGUGUCGUAGCCGGUCGCCGGAGAGCGAGCCGAGCAGUGCCUUCCGGUCAUCUCGUAAAACUGCCGGGGCAAAACACGAAGUGCCGACACUCAGCACGAGACUGCACUCGCGGCCUAACUAAGCCGCGCGGUGCCCUGCCUGCCGCCUCGAGGGCAGGUGCCACCGUCAUUUCGAGGCUCACCCGUCGGAGUCGCCGUGAUCCGACGGGGACACUGCUCACGGUGUAGGACCCGCCGUGCGCCUGGCCUUGGAGCCCGGUGGGUCCGAGAUCUCAACCAGGGCCUACGCUCGUAGCGCUUCGGUGGUCGGGGCACCAGGACGCGGGUUCGACUCCCGCCGCCUCCACGA
rnacentral:tmRNA from 1 species